UUGACGGGACCGCACAAGCGGUGGAUGAUGUGGAUUAAUUCGAUGCAACGCGAAAACCUUACCUACCCUUGACAUGUCCGGAAUCCCGAAGAGAUUUGGAGUGCUCGCAAGAGAACCGGAACACAGGUGCUGCAUGGCUGUCGUCAGCUCGUGUCGUGAGAUGUUGGGUUAAGUCCCGCAACGAGCGCAACCCUUGUCAUUAGUUGCCAUCAUUUGGUUGGGCACUCUAAUGAGACUGCCGGUGACGAACCGGAGGAAGGUGGGGAUGACGUCAAGUCCUCAUGGCCCUUAUGGGUAGGGCUUCACACGUCAUACAAUGGUCGGUACAGAGGGUUGCCAACCCGCGAGGGGGAGCUAAUCCCACAAAGCCGAUCGUAGUCCGGAUCGCAGUCUGCAACUCGACUGCGUGAAGUCGGAAUCGCUAGUAAUCGUGGAUCAGCAUGUCACGGUGAAUACGUUCCCGGGUCUU
rnacentral:rRNA from 1 species